UUUGCCACGCACCCUGGGGAGAGGGCAGAAACCUAUGCCACUCUGACAACCUAAAAGAUGUAAAUGAAGCCUUUGCAGAGCCCCAUUUUAAUGCUCUAAUCUGACCUCCACAAGACCCAGAUGCAACCUAAAGUAUUCUGCCAAGACAGCCAAGAGGAGACCCAACUCUACGGCAGGAGACAGCACACUAGACCAGGGUGUGAAAUAGCCUGGGGCUCAGCCAGUCGCCUGUAGAUGUGGACAACUCCCACUUCCCAAAUAGAUUAUUCCAAAGCAAGAAAUACACAUCAGUUCCAGACGGCUUGAAAAAUGCAGCUCCUAAUUUACUCAUCCUUAGAUAUCCCUGCUUCCAGUUGAGAACUCCAACCAUGUGUCGAGGCUGGACCCCGGCAUGUAUUGAUAACACUUGAAAUCCUGCUCAUGUGACAAGAUAAACCACGGAUAGGAAAAGGUGCAUGUCCAGAGGCAUAGCCACCACACACAUUAUGUGGUAAAUGUGAAAGGUACCCCCAGUCUCUGUAAUCAAGCAUGUCACUUGAUUCCGUAUACUGCAGGAGCUAAAGUGUGCCAGGGAAGUGUAGCAUGCAGGGCUGGGGGAUGUAGCUUAAUUAAUAAUGUCUUUGCUUAGCAUUUGCAAAGCCCUGGGUUCAGUCCACAGCACAACAUAAACUGGUUCACACCUGUAAUCUCAGGACUCAAGAGAUAAGGGCAAGAAGAUCAGGAGUUCAAGGUUAU
rnacentral:lncRNA from 1 species